AAAAACAUGUCCUUUUGUAUGAAAUAUAAGGUCUAGCCUGCCCAAUGAUUUUAUUUAAUGGCCGCGGUAUAUUAACUGUGCUAAGGUAGCAUAAUCAUUUGUCUUUUAAUUAGAGGCUAGAAUGAAUGGUUGGACGAAACAUAAACUUUCUUUGAUUUAAUUAAUGAACUUAAUUUUUUGGUUAAAAAGCUAAAAUUUUAUUGAGGGACGAGAAGACCCUAUAGAUCUUUAUAAAUUAAGGUUUUAUUUAUUUUAGAAUAUUAGUUAUUAUAAAAAUUUAAUUUAUUUGAUUGGGGUGAUUAUAGAAUAUAAUUAACUUCUAAUUAAAUUUUUCAUAAAUUAGUGUAAAAUUGAUCCAAUUUUAUUGAUUAAAAGAUUAAGUUACCUUAGGGAUAACAGCGUAAUUUCUUCGAAGAGCUCAAAUCGAUGAAGGAGUUUGCGACCUCGAUGUUGGAUUAAAAUAAGUUUUGGGUGCAGGAGCUCAAAAACUAGGUCUGUUCGACCUUUAAUUUUUUACAUGAUCUGAGU
rnacentral:rRNA from 1 species